UACGUAGGGUGCAAGCGUUGUCCGGAAUUAUUGGGCGUAAAGAGCUCGUAGGCGGCUUGGUAAGUCGGAUGUGAAACCUCCAGCUCAACCUGGAGUCGCCAUCCGAUACUGCCAUGGCUAGAGUCCGGUAGGGGCCCACGGAAUUCCGGGUGUAGCGGUGGGAAUGCGUAGAGAUCCGGAAGAACACCGGUGGCGAAGGCGGUCUGCUGGGCCAAGACUGACGCUGAGGCGCGACAGCGUGGGGAUCAAACAGG
rnacentral:rRNA from 1 species